UCUUUGCCAUGCAAUUUUGGAAUUGCAUGGCAAAAAUACUUUUACUGAUUAGGAUGCAAAAAGUUUAGAAACUAUUGCUUAUCAAAAAGUUUAGAAACCGGACAGGCAGGGUGGCUCACGCCUGUAAUCCCAGCAUUUUGAGAGCCUGAGGCAGUCAGACUGAUCGAGGCCAGGAGUUUGAAAUCAGCCUGGCCAACACGGUGAAACCCCGUCUCUACUAAAAAUACAGAAAAUUAGCUGGAUGUGGUGGUGCACGCCUGUAUUCCCAGCUACUGGGGAGGUUGAGGCACAAGAACUGCUUGAACCCAGGAGGCAGAGGUUGCAGUGAGCCAAGAUCGUGCCACUGCACUCCAGCCUGGGUGACAGAGUGAGACUCUGUCUCAAAAAACAAACAAACAAAAGAGUUUAGAAGAGUUUGUAUAGGGGAGGAGCCAAGAUGGCCGAAUAGGAACAGCUCCAGUCUACAGCUCCCAGCAUGAGCGACGCAGAAGACCGGUGAUUUCUGCAUUUCCAUCUGAGCCAGCAAGCAGCUCCAGAUUUACAUUACACCCUAUCAGCAGCUUUAGCAGUUCCAAUAAAGCUCUGAGUAUGCAUCUCACUGGAACAACUUGGGAUAUGUGUCCAUCACUCUGACCUAUCUCCUUGGACAGGAAAAUGAGAUAUGUUGAUUGGACAAGGCUGGGCUCCAUGUCCACCUCUGGAAUAUUAUUCAAAACACUUGAACUAAAAGCAAGAAAGAAGGUUCUCCAAAGGAAAACUGUAACUAAUGUCUUAAAACAUCAAAACGAGGGG
rnacentral:lncRNA from 10 species